CUCUCAUCAUAUAGCAGGCAGCAAUGUAGUGGUCUGCCAACCCACAUCUCUCUCAUCAUAUAGCAGGCAGCAAUGUAGUGGUCUGCCAACCCACAUCUCCCUCAUCAUAUAGCAGGCAGCAAUGUAGUGGUCUGCCAACCCACAGCUCUCUCAUCAUAUAGCAGGCAGCAAUGUAGUGGUCUGCCAACCCACAUCUCUCUCAUCUCUCUCAUCAUAUAGCAGGCAGCAAUGUAGUGGUCUGCCAACCCACAUCUCCCUCAUCAUAUAGCAGGCAGCAAUGUAGUGGUCUGCCAACCCACAUCUCUCUCAUCAUAUAGCAGGCAGCAAUGUAGUGGUCUGCCAACCCACAUCUCUCUCAUCUCUCUCAUCAUAUAGCAGGCAGCAAUGUAGUGGUCUGCCAACCCACAUCUCUCUCAUCUCUCUCAUCAUAUAGCAGGCAGCAAUGUAGUGGUCUGCCAACCCACAUCUCUCUCAUCAUAUAGCAGGCAGCAAUGUAGUGGUCUGCCAACCCACAUCUCUCUCAUCUCCCUCAUCAUAUAGCAGGCAGCAAUGUAGUGGUCUGCCAACCCCCAGCUCUCUCAUCUCCCUCAUCAUAUAGCAGGCAGCAAUGUAGUGGUCUGCCAACCCACAUCUCUCUCAUCAUAUAGCAGGCAGCAAUGUAGUGGUCUGCCAACCCACAGCUCUCUCAUCUCCCUCAUCAUAUAGCAGGCAGCAAUGUAGUGGUCUGCCAACCCACAGCUCUCUCAUCAUAUAGCAGGCAGCAAUGUAGUGGUCUGCCAACCCACAUCUCUCUCAUCAUAUAGCAGGCAGCAAUGUAGUGGUCUGCCAAC
ensembl:lncRNA